rnacentral:rRNA from 1 species
GAUGAACGCUGGCGGCGUGCUUAACACAUGCAAGUCGAACGAAGCACUUUUAUUUGAUUUCUUCGGAAUGAAGAUUUUAGUGACUGAGUGGCGGACGGGUGAGUAACGCGUGGGUAACCUGCCUCAUACAGGGGGAUAACAGUUAGAAAUGACUGCUAAUACCGCAUAAGACCACAGCACCGCAUGGUGCAGAGGUAAAAACUCCGGUGGUAUGAGAUGGACCCGCGUCUGAUUAGGUAGUUGGUGGGGUAACGGCCUACCAAGCCGACGAUCAGUAGCCGACCUGAGAGGGUGACCGGCCACAUUGGGACUGAGACACGGCCCAAACUCCUACGGGAGGCGGCAGUGGGGAAUAUUGCACAAUGGGGGAAACCCUGAUGCAGCGACGCCGCGUGAGCGAUGAAGUAUUUCGGUAUGUAAAGCUCUAUCAGCAGGGAAGAAAAUGACGGUACCUGACUAAGAAGCACCGGCUAAAUACGUGCCAGCCGCCGCAGUAACAC